rnacentral:misc_RNA from 1 species
GAAAUGCGAUAAGUAAUGUGAAUUGCAGAAUUCAGUGAAUCAUCGAAUCUUUGAACGCACAUUGCGCCCCUCGGCACUCCGGGGGGCAUGCCUGUCCGAGCGUCAUUGCACCCCUCGAGCCCCCCGUGGCUUGGUCGUGAGCCGCGCCCGUGCCACCCCCGUUCCCCCCUGUGAAGGGGGGGGCCGGGGCGCCGGGCGGGCUUGAAACGCAGUGGCGGCCCCCGGGCGACUUCCAGCGCGAUGACAUGUUUCGCUGCCGAAGCGUUCGCCCCGGGCGCCCGCCAGGCAACCCCCGUGUGUGUUAUGCGGUUGACCUCGGAUCAGGCAGGGAUACCCGCUGAACUUAA